AAUUAUUUUAUUUGGUUUAUUUUAUACAUUUCGGUAAUCCAUAUAGCAAAUUUUAUACUAUUCCAAAAAUACCAUUCACUACAACAUAAUUAGAUUAUAGGGACACAUAUUUGGGACACUUUUGUAUAAGUAUCUCAUUUAUAUCAAAACUUAAAAAAUAUCUAAUAAUGCCUAAAUAUAAUGCUCAAUCCAACCAAAAAUAAAAUAUUACUCUACUUAACCCACCAUACCCAGCCCAUUUGGCCCGAUUACAAACAGAAAAGAAAAAAAAAAAAAGAAAAAUCGAUUACCAUCUCCCCUUCUCCCUUCACUCAAUCCACUGAAAUUCUAGACAAAAAGUCCUUCCCUCUCGUCCUCCUCCGCCACCGCAGCCAACGAGGUAGAGUUUCGGCGGUUACUAAAUACUUAAAUAAGUGUUGGUAAAUUAGCAGUACGUACUCUUUUUAGGUUAUAGCAACACUCUUUAACUGCACUAUAUACCUAGCGACCCCACAUAUAGCAACACUUUUUAAAAGUGUCGGUAAUUUAGCCGGCAGCACUUUUUUUUACCUGUACCGAGAUUUAAAAGUAUCGUUAUAGACCGUUUUUGUUGUAGUGAUUAUAUAUAGUUAUUGAAAGUUUCAAUAUAAACUUUAUAUACAAAAUUUAAAUUU
rnacentral:lncRNA from 1 species